UAUGGAGAGUUUGAUCCUGGCUCAGGACGAACGCUGGCGGCGUGCUUAACACAUGCAAGUCGAACGGAAAGGCCUAGCUUGCUAGGUACUCGAGUGGCGAACGGGUGAGUAACACGUGGGUGAUCUGCCUCGUACUUCGGGAUAAGCCUGGGAAACUGGGUCUAAUACUGGAUAGGACCAUGCUUUAGUGUGUGUGGUGGAAAGUUUUUCGGUACGAGAUGAGCCCGCGGCCUAUCAGCUUGUUGGUGGGGUAAUGGCCUACCAAGGCGUCGACGGGUAGCCGGCCUGAGAGGGUGGACGGCCACAUUGGGACUGAGAUACGGCCCAGACUCCUACGGGAGGCAGCAGUGGGGAAUAUUGCACAAUGGGCGCAAGCCUGAUGCAGCGACGCCGCGUGGGGGAUGACGGCCUUCGGGUUGUAAACCUCUUUCGCUAGGGACGAAGCUUUUGUGACGGUACCUAGAUAAGAAGCACCGGCUAACUACGUGCCAGCAGCCGCGGUAAUACGUAGGGUGCGAGCGUUGUCCGGAAUUACUGGGCGUAAAGAGCUCGUAGGUGGUUUGUCGCGUCGUCUGUGAAAUUCCGGGGCUUAACUCCGGGCGUGCAGGCGAUACGGGCAUAACUUGAGUGCUGUAGGGGAGACUGGAAUUCCUGGUGUAGCGGUGGAAUGCGCAGAUAUCAGGAGGAACACCGAUGGCGAAGGCAGGUCUCUGGGCAGUAACUGACGCUGAGGAGCGAAAGCAUGGGGAGCGAACAGGAUUAGAUACCCUGGUAGUCCAUGCCGUAAACGGUGGGCGCUAGGUGUGAGGGUCUUCCACGACUUUCGUGCCGUAGCUAACGCAUUAAGCGCCCCGCCUGGGGAGUACGGCCGCAAGGCUAAAACUCAAAGGAAUUGACGGGGGCCCGCACAAGCGGCGGAGCAUGUGGAUUAAUUCGAUGCAACGCGAAGAACCUUACCUGGGCUUGACAUAUGCAGGAUCGGCGUAGAGAUACGUUUUCCCUUGUGGUCUGUAUACAGGUGGUGCAUGGUUGUCGUCAGCUCGUGUCGUGAGAUGUUGGGUUAAGUCCCGCAACGAGCGCAACCCUUGUCUUAUGUUGCCAGCAUGUUAUGGUGGGGACUCAUGAGAGACUGCCGGGGUUAACUCGGAGGAAGGUGGGGAUGACGUCAAAUCAUCAUGCCCCUUAUGUCCAGGGCUUCACACAUGCUACAAUGGUCGGUACAACGCGCUGCGAGCCUGUGAGGGUGAGCGAAUCGCUGAAAGCCGGCCUCAGUUCGGAUUGGGGUCUGCAACUCGACCCCAUGAAGUCGGAGUCGCUAGUAAUCGCAGAUCAGCAACGCUGCGGUGAAUACGUUCCCGGGCCUUGUACACACCGCCCGUCACGUCAUGAAAGUUGGUAACACCCGAAGCCAGUGGCCUAACCUUUGUGGGAGGAGCUGUCGAAGGUGGGAUCGGCGAUUGGGACGAAGUCGUAACAAGGUAGCCGUACCGGAAGGUGCGGCUGGAUCACCUCCUUU
rnacentral:rRNA from 1 species